CCUACGGGAGGCAGCAGUGAGGAAUAUUGGUCAAUGGGCGGAAGGCUGAACCAGCCAAGUAGCGUGCAGGAUGACGGCCCUACGGUUUGUAAACUUCUUUUAUACGGGAAUAACGCGCCUUACGUGUGGGGCUUUGCAUGUACCCUAUGAAUAAGGACUGGCUAAUUCCGUGCCAGCAGCCGCGGUAAUACGGAGGGUGCGGGCGUUAUCCGGAUUUAUUGGGUUUAAAGGGUGCAUAGGCCGCUUUUCAAGCGAGCUGUGAAAUGUUCGGGCUCAACCCGGGCCUUGCAGCGGGAACUGGAGGGCUUGAGUGUGCGGAAAGCAGGCGGAAUGCGUGGUGUAGCGGUGAAAUGCAUAGAUAUGACGAAGAACUCCGAUUGCGAAGGCAGCUUGCUGCAGCGGAACUGACGCUGAUGCUCGAAAGCGCGGGUAUCGAACAGGAUUAGAUACCCCGGUAGUC
rnacentral:rRNA from 1 species